rnacentral:rRNA from 1 species
UACGUAUGGAGCAAGCGUUAUCCGGAUUUACUGGGUGUAAAGGGUGCGUAGGUGGCAGUGCAAGUCAGAUGUGAAAGGCCGGGGCUCAACCUCGGAGCUGCAUUUGAAACUGCUCGGCUAGAGUACAGGAGAGGCAGGCGGAAUUCCUAGUGUAGCGGUGAAAUGCGUAGAUAUUAGGAGGAACACCAGUGGCGAAGGCGGCCUGCUGGACUGUUACUGACACUGAGGCACGAAAGCGUGGGGAGCAAACAGG